GUUUCCACAGGAAAGGGACGCAGAUGCAGGCAGACCAAUGAAAUCAGGGGAGAAGCCAUCGUCACUGGAGGAGAGAGAAAAGCCCUGCCUGAAGCCCAGUCGGCAGAUAGGAAGCAGCUGAAGCCACCCUUGGCUACUGCUGGCCGACCACCUCGGAAGAUUGUUUUGCUUCCCUCGUCUGCUCUCUGCAAACUGCAGACAGCAGAGCCUGCCUAUUUUUGUCAGAGGACACCACUUACACGAGCAGAAUCACGGAGCCCUGUGCCAUUACUGCUUUCUGCCAGAACCUCAGAUGCAAAUACUGCUGCAUAGCCUGUUCCCUCCACUGUGUUUCCAAAGACCUUAGGUAAUCAUAGCAUGAGAGUGGAGCAAGAGCUACUUGCUCUUUUCUACUACUAUUGGUUUUCUGAUACAAAAUGAGAUUACUAAUAAGAGAAGCAUGUAAAAGCCCUGAAUAAGGACAGUCUGCACUGUGCUAGGGUUGAUAAAAUAAAACGAGUUCUUACCCCUGAUUUGCA
rnacentral:lncRNA from 1 species